GAUGAACGCUGGCGGCGUGCCUAAUACAUGCAAGUCGAGCGAACAGAUGAGGAGCUUGCUCCUCUGACGUUAGCGGCGGACGGGUGAGUAACACGUGUAUAACCUACCUAUAAGACUGGGAUAACUUCGGGAAACCGGAGCUAAUACCGGAUAAUAUAUUGAACCGCAGGGUUCAAUAGUGAAAGACGGUUUUGCUGUCACUUAUAGAUGGAUCCGCGCCGCAUUAGCUAGUUGGUAAGGUAACGGCUUACAAAGGCAACGAUGCGUAGCCGACCUGAGAGGGGGAUCGGCCACACUGGAACUGAGACACGGUCCAGACUCCUACGGGAGGCAGCAGUAGGGAAUCUUCCGCAAUGGGCGAAAGCCUGACGGAGCAACGCCGCGUGAGUGAUGAAGGUCUUCGGAUCGUAAAACUCUGUUAUUAGGGAAGAACAAAUGUGUAAGUAACUAUGCACGUCUUGACGGUACCUAAUCAGAAAGCCACGGCUAACUACGUG
rnacentral:rRNA from 1 species